CUGUUGGAGAGGAUCAACCCGGACCACAGCUUCCCUGUCAGGUGAGCCGCUCCAGGCACCACUCCAUGCACGGCCUAGGCACCCUGUGCUCUUUGGUUGGGGCCCCCGACUGCCCCUUGCACCCUGACACCCCACACCCCUCCUCGCAGACAGUCUGCAGCGGGGGCUCUCAGAAAUAGCCCCCAGCUGCCCACUGCCGUUUUGUAAACCUGCUUCUCAAAAUCGCCACCCUAUGUGACACUGCACUCUCCCUGCAGCUCGCACUGCCUCCGAGCAGCUGCCUUCUACGUGCGUGGGCUCUUCUCCUUCUUCCAGGGACGCUACAACGAGGCCAAGCGAUUUCUGCGGGAAACUCUGAAGAUGUCCAAUGCUGAGGACCUGAACCGGCUCACAGCCUGCUCCCUCGUGCUCCUGGGCCACAUCUUCUAUGUGCUGGGAAACCACAGGGAGAGUAACAACAUGGUGGUGCCCGCCAUGCAGCUCGCCAGCAAGAUCCCGGACAUGUCGGUACAGCUGUGGUCGUCAGCACUGCUGAGAGGUGAGUGCAAUGGCC
rnacentral:sRNA from 1 species